UCUAUAAAAAAAUGGCUUAUCAAGUGCGCUAUAGGAUACAUAAUAUUUAAGGCUAACGAUCUAAAUAAUUCUGACAUGAAUAUUAGUUAUCUAGAGAACAUCGUCAACAGGACUGCUUUAAUUCAGCUUGUGGUUUCUUAAUUAACUCAUGCUUGAAUCUGAAUCAAGACCAAUUCUGCUUUAUGUCUGAGGGCGUUGUUUUUCCUGCACCACCCACCAAUGUUGCUGCCUAAUUAGUCAAAUGGGCGAGAGUGGGGGCAGAGUGUGUGUGAUGACUGUUGCCAAAUAUUCUGACCCUAAGCAGCGCACAAGUGUUGUCACCCCACAGUUUUAGCCAAAUGUCGACAGCUGGCAAAGCAAACCGAAAACGAGUCCAGAAUGGGGACUGAAGCACCUAAACCCCGAAAAACCAGACGACUGUCGGGUCGACACUAUGACAGUUGUCCUGUCGCUCGAAUGUCGCACGGUUCACACCCACCUUAAUGAGUGUGUGUGUGCGUGUGUUUGGCUGCGUGUGUGUGUACACUGCGAAUAUAUUGCGCAUAGUCAUGUGGGGCAAGCGCUGAGGAAUACUCUACCAAAGGAUAUUUUAUGAAUCACUUGCAAUUAUAACAUAAUAAAAAUCUAAUCUUAUUUAUGAGAAUAA